UAGAAUGCCUAACUAUAUAGAGAUUAUGGGGUUGCUGCCCAUGUGGCAAAUGGCCAGAAUACAACUGAAUGAUAGUUACAGCUGAGUUGGAUGACAGCUGUCAGAGUACUUCUAAUAGCACGUCAGUAAGAAACUGAUGUAGAAUAAUUGAUAUCGAUAAAUAUCUGAAUUGGAUGUCAUACCUUGAGUAACAGAAAUCAGAUCGGCUAGAAAUCAAUGUAAGGUGAUGAAGAUCAAAAUCAGACCG
rnacentral:lncRNA from 1 species